rnacentral:tRNA from 1 species
GCCGUCUUAGCUCAGCUGGUAGAGCAACUGACUUGUAAUCAGUAGGUCGUGAGUUCGAAUCCCACAGUCGGCA